rnacentral:rRNA from 1 species
AAGAACCUUACCUGGGCUUGACAUGUAGGUGGUAGGAAUUGGAAACAUGACCGACCCCUCGGGGAGGUUACACAGGUGGUGCACGGCUGUCGUCAGCUCGUGUCGUGAGAUGUUGGGUUAAGUCCCGCAACGAGCGCAACCCCUGUCCUGAUGUUGCCAUCAUUUAGUUGGGGACUCAUCGGAGACUGCCGGUGACAAACCGGAGGAAGGUGGGGAUGACGUCAAGUCAUCAUGCCCUUUAUGUCCAGGGCUACACACGUGCUACAAUGGCCGGUACAACGGGCUGCGAUACCGCGAGGUGGAGCGAAUCCCUUAAAGCCGGUCUCA